GAUGUACCAAUGGUUUGACACAGAACACCCAAGACCUCUCCUUUGAUAAAUCAAGUCAAAAAGAAAAUUUCAUGUAAAGGCAACAGCUGUACUGCCAAUGAAGAGUGGUGACAUGUUUACAUAACCUGUGCUAUCCAGUGCCCGAUGAACUAUUUUAUUUGAAGCCAACUGAAUCUUAUGUGGCUGAGGCUGAAAGAAAAAUUUAUAUGGGG